GACGAACCACACAAACGUUAUUCGGAAUUACUGGGCUUAAAGGGUGCGUAGGCGGCGCGGAAAGUAGGGUGUGAAAUCCCUCGGCUCAACCGAGGAAUUGCGCCCUAAACUACCGUGCUCGAGGGAGAUAGAGGUGAGCGGAACUUAGGGUGGAGCGGUGAAAUGCGUUGAUAUCCUAAGGAACACCGGUGGCGAAAGCGGGUCUCUGGGCCGAAACUGACGCUGAGGAGCGAAAGCGUGGGGAGCAAACAGG
rnacentral:rRNA from 1 species